AUACUUACCUGGCAGGGAAGAUACCAUGAUCAACAAGGUGGUUCACCUAGGGUGAGGCUUAGCCAUUGCACUCCUGGCAUGAGCUGACCUCUGCGUGUUCCCUAAAUGUGAGAAUCUCAACUGUAUAAUUUAUGCUAAUAGGGACUGUGUUUGCGCUCUCCCCU